GGCUCGGUAGCUCAGCGGUAGAGCAGGUGACUCUUAAUCACUUGGUCCAAGGUUCGAAUCCUUGCCGGGCCA
rnacentral:tRNA from 1 species